GAUGAACGCUGGCGGCGUGCCUAAUACAUGCAAGUCGAGCGAACAGAUGAGGAGCUUGCUCCUCUGACGUUAGCGGCGGACGGGUGAGUAACACGUGGAUAACCUACCUAUAAGACUGGGAUAACUUCGGGAAACCGGAGCUAAUACCGGAUAAUAUAUUGAACCGCAUGGUUCAAUAGUGAAAGACGGUUUUGCUGUCACUUAUAGAUGGAUCCGCGCCGCAUUAGCUAGUUGGUAAGGUAACGGCUUACCAAGGCAACGAUGCGUAGCCGACCUGAGAGGGUGGUCGGCCCCACUGGAACUGAGACACGGUCCAGACUCCUACGGGAGGCAGCAGUAGGGAAUCUUCCGCAAUGGGCGAAAGCCUGACGGAGCAACGCCGCGUGAGUGAUGAAGGUCUUCGGAUCGUAAAACUCUGUUAUUAGGGAAGAACAAAUGUGUAAGUAACUAUGCACGUCUUGACGGUACCUAAUCAGAAAGCCACGGCUAACUACGUG
rnacentral:rRNA from 1 species